AAAAUAGGAUCUUAUGGAUUUAUGAAUAAACUGCUCGUUUUAAAAUCUCCUCGGCCUACUGACACUUAUUAUCCGCUUGAAACAUUACAAUGCUCAUGAGAACUUUUAACUUGACAAUAAGUAAAUCCACUUUACUAUCUAAUUACUCUUCACCAGCGAUGUCAUAGAAAUAUACAGAGCUACCACAAAAUGGAAGUUCAAAAACAAAAUUCUGAAGAUGGCUGCACGCUUGUUUCUCUGGCGCAUAUAUAAGGCCUAUACUUGGGUUUGUGUGUGUGUAAGUGUGUACUUGCUGACCUCUGUACUCAGCCCCAGAAAUCAGUAUUUGGAAUAGCUGAUCAUAUCAGUGGUCUUGUCUUCUUGGAAUGCUGUGGAUGGCCACAGGUGCCCAUUACUUAUCAUGCUAAAUGAUUCGGGUCAGCUCAGUCAACAUUCCGGAACUCUCUGAGACAAGACCACUUUGGAAAAGGGGGAAGAUCCCCCUCUUAAUCUCUCCUGCCAAAAAGGUCCUUCAUAUAUAAGAAAAUGAGUUUCAGUAUUAAAAUAAUGGAUGUUUAUGACCAGCAGAUUCAAGUAGAUUCUGAUGCACUGCUCCUACAGGGCCCACUAAUGUCUGUCUGCUACUUACACAUCCAGCAAGUGGAAUUAGUGCAGUGGUCCUCCAUUUCCCAGUAGCGCACAUGGAGCCUCAGUUGCCCAGCUCAACACUUGGUGCUUUUGGAGGCUUGUUAAACUGAGGCACACUUUGUACCUGAAGCUGAAUCGGCCCCGAUUGGCCCUUCUUCCGCUUAUCUCUCCGGGUUGCUCCACACCCUUUGCCCGCCGGCGAUGGUCACAUGCUUGACCUGCUCGACUGGCCUGGACCACACCCUGUCCUACAUACCUGCUCCUCACCUGUGCUGUACUGAGUGACACUGCUCACCUGAGAGAGGACUUCCUACUCACACCAUUGCCACUAAAUCUCUGCAAAAUAAAAGCAAGAACAUCCUGUGAAUACCAAAUCAGCCACGGCUAGGCCCACGCGGAGUCUGCGGAGCUUCAGUGGUUGCGGCACAACCGUGAACAAGUAACAGCUUUUGGCAUAUAUACUGAUAUUAUGCAGUGAUAUUAUUUGGGGAAAAUUGCUUUAGCUAAAUAUGUCAUAAACAACUUCGGGCCAUUUUCCAUCGAUUUCCUCUUUGAUAUAGUGUUAGCUUGGCUCAGUUUUUUCCAGGCUUUCUAACUGGCACUAACAUACCAAAAAGACUCUCCAUCACUCUCAGCAUCUUGAGAUUUUCUAGUAAACAAAACAUGAAUUUAUUUGAAUAUCAAUUCAUUUAAUUCUACUUGUAUUCAAAUUCCAGUUGUAGUUCUGCAUCUUGUAAAAUUCUGUUCAAAUUUAAAUUGAAAUAUAAAAAGAAUUUUCAGUGUUUCACAAUGCAGUCUGACAAAUGCAUUCAUGUAAUUUGACAUAUUUCAGAUCAUUUAAAAAUUCUUUCAGCUAUGAAUAAGGUUGUUAAGACAU